rnacentral:misc_RNA from 1 species
GUGUUAUUCCUAAAUUAAGUGAGACUCUUAAUCAGAGUAAAAUUGAGAGAAUUAAUACUAUAAAUAGGAAAAUGACGAAAAGAUUAUUUGGCUUUAUCCAUAGAGGAUGGCUUUGCCCAUGGAAAGUUGCUUUGCCUAUUGGAGAGUAUGGCUUUCAGCUCAUAGAUUGGAGUUGUCUCCCAUUGUAAAGAAGGGCUCUGUCAAUUGUUGAGGAUUUGAUUU